rnacentral:rRNA from 1 species
UAGGGAAUCUUCGGCAAUGGGGGGAACCCUGACCGAGCAACGCCGCGUGAGUGAAGAAGGUUUUCGGAUCGUAAUGCCCUGCUGUUAAGGAAGAACGAGUGUGAGAAUGGAAAGUCCAUGCUGUGACGGUACUUAACCAGAAAGGGACGGCUAACUACGUGCCAGCAGCCGCGGUAAUACGUAGGUCCUGCGCGUUUUCCGGAUUUAUUGGGCGUAAAGCGAGCGCAGGCGGUUAGAAAAGUCUGAAGUGAAAGGCAGUGGCUCAACCAUUGUAGGCUUUGGAAGCUGUGUAACUUGAGGGCAGAAGGGGAGGGAGGAAUUCCAUGUGUAGCGGUGAAAAGCGAAAAUCUGUGGAGGAACACCGGUGGAGAAAGCGACUCUCUGGUCUGUAACUGACGCUGAGGCUCGAAAGCGUGGGGAGCGAACAGG